rnacentral:lncRNA from 1 species
GGGCCGUGGUGCCCUCAGGACAAUGCCCUCCGCAGGGUCCCCCCCCGCCGGCCCCUCCCUGGGCAAGGGCGGAGCUCGUUCAGCAGGAACCCCGGUGCUGGGACCUGAGCCCAGGGCCACCUGCAUCGCGGCCCAACCUGUCUGGGGCCUCGUCCUCUCUCGUGUACACACAGGAGCUCCUGGCACCCCGGAGGGCAGCCCCCAACCCUGAAACACACAGCGGCAGCGGCCUGACCUCCCCGGCACUCUCUACGUCAUGUGUCUCAGAUGGGGACCUGUGAGUCCCGGAACCUGACUCACGGGUUUGUGUCCACUCCUGGGCCAGGUGGUGUGUCUCUCGGGACCAAGUGGAUGUUGAGAUACCAGCCGGACAGCUAUUAUACCAAUGCAGAAAGAAGGAAAUGGUGGCUUGGGUACUAGUGCCGGGGGACGGGGGAGAGGACAUGGUUGCUUGGGCCAAAGGAUGGUGCUGAAGUGGGGAGAAGGGGUCUGAUUCCAGGUAUGUUUUGAAGGUGAAGCCAACAAGAGUUGCUGACAGAUUCAGCGUGGGGAUGAGAGGAAAGGAGAGUCUGGGCUGAGCCCAGGGUCUCGCCUAACUAGCUAGAGGGAUGAGGCCACGCUGACCCAGUGGGGAGUGGGGAAGGGCAGUGCAGGGAGGACAAUGGGGAGUUUGUUCUGAGCAUGUCCUGGCUGAGAUGCCUGCUGGACUUCAAGCUCAAGAAACCUCUUGGAUUUAAAUCUAGAGUUGAGAGGAGAGGUUGUCCUUCAGGGGUCCAUAUGAAAGCUUCAGGUGCUUCCGAGGGAUCCUCUGGCAUGACAGGUCUGAGCCCGUCUUUCCCUCUCCGGCACUGCAGGGCUCCCGCAGUUCUGCUUAGAUUCCUAGCAGCCUCUGCUCAGCCCCUCUGCGCUCACCCUGUGCUGCUUGCAAACAGACACCCUGGACUGUUGGGAUCCUUUCCUCUCCCCGGGAUCUUGUCUCUCCAAGCCCUGGCUGUGUGAGCAGUCCUGCACUCUGAUUCUCGUCUUCCUGCUGGCACGACAGUGUUGAAAGCUCCUCUGAGCUUCUCGGAUUCUCAGCAGACCUCCCUGCUCAGCUUCUCAGCAUCUCUGCUCAUGCCAGUUAUGAGUUUGCGGUUGCCCCAAAGGGUGCAGAAGUUCGGGUCACCUCAACGCGUUUCCCUCCCCCACAAUGUCUUGGGCCUUCAGGUCCUGGCUGCCUUGGUAACUCUCUGACACAUUGAGACACAUGUGGUCAUUUGUUUUCUCCAACCUGGUUGAUGGAAGCCAAAAGUGGACUCCUUUUUAUUUUUUUGUUUUUUGACAGGGUCUUUCUCUUUUGCCCAGGCUGGA